rnacentral:lncRNA from 1 species
CUUUUUCUGCAUCCGCUGCUCUGUUAAGUGAUCACCACAUUCAUUGUUCUCGUUUCUAUUAUUUCUGAAAAAAAUCUUCAGGAUUCUGCUUGUGGGAGUGGAUGACAUUUUUACAGUGUUUACAGACACAAAAUGAACAAGAUGUCUGUGGCAACCCUCAGACCAUUGACGCCUUCUCUCCUAUGUAUCAAAUCACACAUUUGGACGUUGACUGAACCCUCACAUGUCAGAUGCUCAAUAUUGAGCUUUAUCUAUUCCAGAAUGUCAUAUAGCUGGUAUAAGGUAUGUACUCUUUUCAGAUUGGCUUCUUUCAUUUAGUAACAUGCAUUUAAAGUCCUUCAAUGGCUUGAGAACUCAUUUCUUUUUAGCACUGAAUAGUAAUAGUUCAUAUUCUAGAAGUACCGUAUUUUAUGUAUCCAUUCAUCUCCUAAGUGUAUCUUUGUUGCCUUCAUGUUAGGGCAAUUAUGAAUAAAACUACUAUAAAUAUCCAUGUGCAGGUUUUGUGUGAACAUAAGUUUGCAACUCCUUUGAGUAGACACCAUAGAGCACACUUGGUGGACUGAAUGCUAAGAGUAUGUUUAUUUUUAUAAAAAACUACCAAUCUCUUCAAAAGUGACUGAGCCAUUUUACAUUGCGACCAGCAAUAAGUGAUGCUUUUGUUCCACAUCCUUGCUAGAAUGUUGUGGUGUCUGUGUUCUAGAUUUUGGUUGUUCUAAUAGGAAUGAAGCAAUAUCUCAUGGUUGUUUUAACUUUUAUUUCCCUUUAUUAUGACAUAAGGUGGGAAUUAUUUCAUAUGUUUAUUUGCUACCUUUAUGUAUUUUCGAUAAUAUGUCUGUCAAGGCCCGUUUUUUAAUCAAGUGUUUUUGUUUUCUUAUUGUUGAGUUUUGAAAACUCUUGGUAUCUUUUAGAUAACAGUCCUUUAUUAUAUAUUUCUUUUGCAACUACUUUUUCCCAGUCUAUAAUGUCUUCUUGUUCUCUUGACAUUGUCUUUUGCAGAGCAGACAUGUUUAAUUUUAAUGAAAUCCAGCUUAUGAAUUAUUUUUUCAUGAAUCAUGCUUUUGAUGUAGUAUCUAAGAAGUCAUUACCAUAUCUAAGGUCAUCUAAGUUUUUCUGCUAUGCUAUCUUCUAAGAGUCCUAUAGU